rnacentral:snRNA from 1 species
GGAUGUGAGGGCGAUCUGGCUGCGACAUCUGUCACCCCAUUGAUCGCCAGGGUUGAUUUGGCUGAUCUGGCUGGCUAGGCGGGUGUCCCCUUCCUCCCUCACCGCUCCAUGUGCGUCCCUCCCGAAGCUGCGCGCUCGGUCGAAGAGGACGACCUUCCCCGAUAGAGACGUACCGUUCAUCGGUCAAGGGUAUACGGUAGCUGCGCUCCCCUGCUAGAACCUCCAAACAAGCUCAAGGUCCAUUUGUAGGAGAACGUAGGGUAGUCAAGCUUCCAAGACUGCAGACACAUCCAAGUGAGGCACUGCAUGGGGCAGUCUGCCAUUGUUU